rnacentral:tRNA from 1 species
GGAUUGUGGCUCAGGGGUAGAACACUCGCCUAGCAUGUGUGAGGCCCUGGGUUCCAUCCUUAGCACCA